rnacentral:sRNA from 1 species
GGCGCCCUUUCUCCGCCUGCAUCUGGGGAGGGGCGCAGCUGGAAGCAAAGCACAGCUCCAUUUCUGGCCUUUGGUCUCUUUCUCAGAAAGCAGGCUUCAGUGGCCUCAGUUUCUUCCCAGAACCUGCAAUGCCUCACCAAGGCGACAAGAAGUGCAAAGAGUCGGUUUUCACUGCCAACCAAAGAGGUGACCCCCGCAAAGCAACCAUGUUAGGACAGUCCAUUUGCUGCAUUUUGAUUAUUUGCUAAGAGCAAAUACCUUUUCUGUUUGGGUUUUGCUUUUAGAAAAAAAAUGUGGCAGAUGGUGGUGGCUUUCCCCGUCAUUGAAAGAAGAAAGGAGCAUCUUUGAAAGCUGAGCUAGAGGCGGAGCAACUGGUAAACCAGAUGUCCCAAAUUUCUAGCGCUUAGAGGAAGCAUCUGGGAUUGAGCCAUCUCACAUCUGUCUAAUCACAUUCAUUCAAAUGUGAUAGGCCCAACUGGCCUACGGACAUGGCUGCAUAUCACCAUGGGUGGAAAUUAAAUCAAAAUUUGGCUCAGGAGAGAGAUGAAGAGAAAAUGCACAUAGAUAAUUGGCUCAGAUAACAUUCUGUUUCUAGAAGUCACAAAGAGUGGAAAUUGGAAUAUGUAAAUUAAAGAAAAACAGUCCUUAAGAUCAGGUCCGCAAUGGAAGAAGAGCAUUCAUCUGGUACAAGCUGAUGGUUGUGUAAGCCCAAGGAGUGAUGUCAACACUGGGGUUCACCUGAGAACAUGGACACGGCUGAUGAGGGUUUAGGAGAUGCUCAUAUGAAGUCUUCAUAUGUUCCCUGGAUCCCAGCUCUGCCUUCCCACCAGAGAGGAUGUAAUUCAGCCAAGAUGUCCCAGAGUCUGCUCUCUGCUCAUAUCUGUUCCGCACUGAAGCCAAUCAUCUGAGAAACCCAAGAGGUGUUUAAUGCAGUUAGGAAAUUGAGGGAUGGAGACCAUAAAUUCCUUUUCAUGUAGCAGAGUAUAUAUGUGAUACUCAUUCUGUGGUAUUUGGAGCAUAAACAAGAGUCAAUGAAGGAAUGUGAAGGUACUCCAAUCUUGACUUUUAUCUCUAUAAAAAUGGCAUAGGGACGAAACACACUUGGUUGUUAUGACUGUACUCUUUUCAGAUUUACUACUUGCCUUUCUACCGAUUUUUCUGUGCCGCAGGUCUUGACUCCUGUAGGCUAAAUUUCUCAACCCCUUCUGCUCACUGAUAUAUGGGAAGGUUUGGCCAAAGGUGGGUGACUGGUGGGGAGAAGGAUGAGGGAAUUCAGCAGAUUGCUGAGCCCAUUCUCUACUUUAGACAGUGCUGCUGGCACUGGCUCUGUCUUCUCUGUUUCCAUCUCCCAUCAGAUGGUUCUUCCCUCUAUGGGCCUAGUCCUACCUGGACCCUUUCCAGUUGGAUUCCAGUUCUGGGGAUGUUCCCUCCUCCAGGGAUCUAAGUCCUUCCCAUUGUCUUCGGCUCCUGGGCUUAACUAGAACCAUCUUUUCCCAUUGUCCCUAUGGUGCUAAGGCUUUCAGUGGUUAUUAACGUCUGUGUUGUAUCAUCUUGCCUGAAUUUCAGCUCUCUGUAACCAGUUCCCCAAAUAAAAUUCCCCCCAUUUACCUA